rnacentral:rRNA from 1 species
CCUACGGGAGACUGCAGUGGGGAAUAUUGCACAAUGGGGGAAACCCUGAUGCAGCGACGCCGCGUGAGUGAAGAAGUAAUUCGUUAUGUAAAGCUCUAUCAGCAGGGAAGAAAAUGACGGUACCUGAGUAAGAAGCCGCGGCUAACUACGUGCCAGCAGCCGCGGUCAUACGUAGGGGGCAAGCGUUAUCCGGAUUUACUGGGUGUAAAGGGAGCGUAGACGGCAGUGCAAGUCUGGAGUGAAAGGCGGGGGCUCAACCCCCGGACUGCUCUGGAAACUGUACGGCUGGAGUGCAGGAGAGGUAAGUGGAAUUCCUAGUGUAGCGGUGAAAUGCGUAGAUAUUAGGAGGAACACCAGUGGCGAAGGCGGCUUACUGGACUGUAACUGACGUUGAGGCUCGAAAGCGUGGGGAGCAAACAGGAUUAGAUACCCCUGUAGUC